AGCCCGGUAGCGUGGGCUUGUGAUCCAAGUGGAGGCAUUAAGGUGGUGGAAAGUUGUUCUUGUCCAGACGGCUGAGUCUAGCCUGAUUAAUAUCAGGCCUGCCCGUUCCAAGCCAAGAGCUGAGCCAUGUGACCCUAGCGAAGGCCCGGGUUACUUGUCUCCUAAAGUGGGGGGCAAUGCGUGAGGCUGGUUUCACAGAGCAGCGACAACCUCCCGCUCCUGGCAGUGGAAGGAUAACAGGCUGUUGUCACCUAGACUCAUAUGGUCUAAUGGGCUGAUAAAACUAGACCAUCACUUUU
rnacentral:SRP_RNA from 1 species